UCGAACGCUUCUUUCCUCCCGAGUGCUUGCACUCAAUUGGAAAGAGGAGUGGCGGACGGGUGAGUAACACGUGGGUAACCUACCCAUCAGAGGGGGAUAACACUUGGAAACAGGUGCUAAUACCGCAUAACAGUUUAUGCCGCAUGGCAUAAGAGUGAAAGGCGCUUUCGGGUGUCGCUGAUGGAUGGACCCGCGGUGCAUUAGCUAGUUGGUGAGGUAACGGCUCACCAAGGCCACGAUGCAUAGCCGACCUGAGAGGGUGAUCGGCCACACUGGGACUGAGACACGGCCCAGACUCCUACGGGAGGCAGCAGUAGGGAAUCUUCGGCAAUGGACGAAAGUCUGACCGAGCAACGCCGCGUGAGUGAAGAAGGUUUUCGGAUCGUAAAACUCUGUUGUUAGAGAAGAACAAGGACGUUAGUAACUGAACGUCCCCUGACGGUAUCUAACCAGAAAGCCACGGCUAACUACGUGCCAGCAGCCGCGGUAAUACGUAGGUGGCAAGCGUUGUCCGGAUUUAUUGGGCGUAAAGCGAGCGCAGGCGGUUUCUUAAGUCUGAUGUGAAAGCCCCCGGCUCAACCGGGGAGGGUCAUUGGAAACUGGGAGACUUGAGUGCAGAAGAGGAGAGUGGAAUUCCAUGUGUAGCGGUGAAAUGCGUAGAUAUAUGGAGGAACACCAGUGGCGAAGGCGGCUCUCUGGUCUGUAACUGACGCUGAGGCUCGAAAGCGUGG
rnacentral:rRNA from 1 species